rnacentral:misc_RNA from 1 species
AGAGGAAGAAGAACAAAGUGGUCUCGAUUCUAAAAUGGUGGCGGUCGUAGAUUCUAAUGCUAAUUCGAACGUGGGGCAGCUGAAUUCUGGUGGAAAUGAAACUACUACUUUAAAUGGAACGAUUUCAAGAACCAGUAGUGGCUUUUUCUUUCCAAANUUCUUUUCUCAAACAAUUACAGAGGAGCCCUGCAUUUCUUGUACCACUUUCAAUAUCCUGGCUCCAAUCUACAAGCGGCUCGAUCACCAGAACCAAAACAUCCGUGAAAGCGAUUUCAGGGCAUUCUGGUUCACC